rnacentral:rRNA from 1 species
GACGAACGCUGGCGGCGUGCUUAACACAUGCAAGUCGAACGGAAAGGCCCUGCUUUUGUGGGGUGCUCGAGUGGCGAACGGGUGAGUAACACGUGAGUAACCUGCCCUUGACUUUGGGAUAACUUCAGGAAACUGGGGCUAAUACCGGAUAGGAGCUCCUGCUGCAUGGUGGGGGUUGGAAAGUUUCGGCGGUUGGGGAUGGACUCGCGGCUUAUCAGCUUGUUGGUGGGGUAGUGGCUUACCAAGGCUUUGACGGGUAGCCGGCCUGAGAGGGUGACCGGCCACAUUGGGACUGAGCUACGGCACAGACUUGUACGGGAGGCAGCAGUGGGGAAUAUUGCAUAAUGGGCGGAAGCCUGAUGCAGCAACGCCGCGUGCGGGAUGACGGCCUUCGGGUUGUAAACCGCUUUCGCCUGUGACGAAGCGUGAGUGACGGUAAUGGGUAAAGAAGCACCGGCUAACUACGUG